rnacentral:rRNA from 1 species
AGCAGCCGCGGUAAUUCCAGCUCCAAUAGCGUAUAUUAAAGUUGUUGCAGUUAAAAAGCUCGUAGUUGAAUUUCGGGAUCAGUACGCCGGUCGUGCUUCGGUAUGCACUGGUGUCACUGGUUCCUCCCUUCUGAAGAACCAUCAUGCCAUUCAGUUGGUGUGGCGGGGAAUCAGGACUGUUACUUUGAAAAAAUUAGAGUGUUUAAAGCAGGCUCGCGCUUGAAUACAUUAGCAUGGAAUAAUGAAAUAGGACGUUUGACCCUAUUUUGUUGGUUUCUAGGAUCGACGUAAUGAUUAAUAGGGAUAGUUGGGGGCAUUAGUAUUCAAUUGUCAGAGGUGAAAUUCUUGGAUUUAUUGAAGACUAACUACUGCGAAAGCAUUUGCCAAGGAUGUUUUCAUUAAUCAAGAACGAAAGUUAGGGGAUCGAAGACGAUCAGAUACCGUCGUAGUCUUAACCAUAAACUAUGCCGACUAGGGAUCGGAUGAUGUUAAUUUUUGAAUGACUCAUUCGGCGCCUUACG